UCUUGCCUACGGGGCGCAGCAGUGGGGAAUAUUGCACAAUGGGCGAAAGCCUGAUGCAGCAACGCCGCGUGAGGGAAGAAGGGAUUCGGCUCGUAAACUUCUAUCAACAGGGACGAAAGAAAUGACGGUACCUGAAUAAGAAGCCCCGGCUAACUACGUGCCAGCAGCCGCGGUAAUACGUAGGGGGCAAGCGUUAUCCGGAAUUACUGGGUGGAAAGGGUGAGUAGGCGGCAUGGUAAGCCAGAUGUGAAAGCCUUGGGCUUAACCCGAGGAUUGCAUUUGGAACUAUCAAGCU
rnacentral:rRNA from 1 species